rnacentral:tRNA from 1 species
AUUAAGAAGCUAUGAAUCAGCAUUAGCCUUUUAAGCUAAAGAAAGAGGGGACCCCCUCCUUAAUGA